rnacentral:lncRNA from 1 species
UUUUAUGAUGUACUACUUCAUGGUUUUAUUAGUGGAUUAGUUCUUUUAUUUACCUCCUUAUUCUAGAAUCCAGUUGUUAUAUUCUCUGAUACUCUUAGAUGCUUAUUUGUUAUUGCUUUAUUUAUCUCUUUGUUGUAAACGCUUUAUAUGUUGUAGGCAUAUGGCGGGUCUGGACACGCACCGGGCGGGCUUCCGCUGGGUCCCGGGGCGUGACAGCGGUAUUUACUCCGCAGCAUUUAUUUAAAUAACACUAAUUAAUAUAUUUAACAGCAUUACUUGAUAAGUGCCGCUAGAUUUAAUAAUUUAGCAGCAAUUUACUAUUAAUGUUGCAAAAUAGAAUAAAUUAGCAGCAUAAAUUAGUGAAUGCCGCUAAAAUUUUCAGCAUUUUAUAAAAAAUGACACUAAAUGUAAUAAAGUAGCAGCACUUAUUGCUAAAUGCCACAAUAUUUGCGUCGCAACAUUUAUUUAAAUCAUGCCAAUUAUUAUAUUUAGCAGCAUUAUUUGCUAAUUGCCGCUAGAUUUAAUUAUUUAGUAACAAUUUACUAUUAAUGUUGCAAAAUAGGAUAAAUUAGCAGCAUAAAUUAGUGAAUGCCACUAAAUAUAAUGAACAAGCAGCACUUAUUAAUAAAUAUCAGUACUAAUUAAUAUAUAGUUAUUAAUAUAUCCCUUUUUAAUUAGAAUUAAAAAUUUAAAAAUUAAAGUUCAAAAUUCAAAGCAUAUAAUUUUAAAAAUUAAACUUAUAGUUUAAAAUUUAUAUUUUAAAUUUUAAAUUCAAAAAUUUUUAAUUUUUAAACUUUAAAUUUUAAAUUUUUAAAUUCAUAAAUUAGUGAAUGCCGCUAAAUAUAAUAAACAAGCAACACUUGUUAAUAAAUAUCAUUAUUAAUUAAUGAGAUGGCAAGAUGACGCAUUAAAGAUGGAAUGAAUUAUUUGAUGCUCAUUGUCUUGAUUUUUCUUCUGAACAAUGAGUACCACUUAUAGCAUUUGGCCGAUGAUAUUGAUUCCUUAUAAUUUACCUUCGUGAUUAUGCAUGAAACAGUCAUCAUUUAUCCUAUUAAUAGUCAUUCCCGAUAAAAUAGGUCCAGAUAAUUAUAUUGAUAUUUAUUUGAUCAUUGAGUCGGCCAAAUGUACUUCCUUAGAAAAUGAGCGAGGAGUAGAGCGGCUACUGAUAAUGAGCCUCGAAGUUUGCGCCCACAAGUGAAUAAGAGAUUUGGCUGAUGAGGAAUCAGACCAACCGAGUUUAGAUACCAUACUGUAGAUUCGGUUCGGCUGAAGAGCCAAAUGAUACUUAUGUGUAUCGCCGGAAAAAAGAAAAUAUUUAUAGAAAGGGGUAUCCCGCAAUGGCAUCUGGUCUUAAAAGAAUUUCUAACUUAGAACUACUCCUAGAAAAGUAAGAAAUAUGAAGGAAAGCAAAAAUUACAAGUAGACUAUUCAUAGAAAGCGAAAGAAAUUCGUGAAAAAUAAAUUGGUCUUCUUAUUCUCGAGGAAAAAAGACUUCUUCUGUUAGGCGUCUCUUAUCUAUUUAUAAUUUCGCCCGUUGUUAUUCAGUUAUUCCCCUUGAUUGGCCAUAUUCUUGAUUUUGUGGGCCACUAUCGGUCGAUCAACUGUUUUUCAGUUUUAGGUGCAAUUUUCUCUGCUCCUGGCGCACCACAUGUUACUUAUCUCUGGCUUUAAGGCUGUUUUCAUGCGUUGCAUUCUAAUUCACCACAUGGUGUAAAUUUUAUGGCGUAAACACAGAGUUAAAAUAAUUAUGAGAUGGUGUUGAUCCUUCUAUUAAACAAACCUUUAGAGGCCGUUUGGUUGGGAGGUAAAGGGAGGAUAAGCGGGUUAUCCCCCCUUAUACCCAAAUAAAAAAAAGGGGUGGAACAACUAUCCCACCCCUUAACGGGUUAUGCGUGGGAUAGUUGUUCCCACCCUUUGUGGGAAUAAGGGUGAGAACAACUGUUCCCACUCUUAUUUAAUUUUUAAAAUUUAUAUUUAAAAAUUUUAAUUUUAAAAUUUAUUAUUUGUAAUUUUAAAAUUAAAAUUUAUAAUUUUAAAUUUUAAAUUAAUACUUUAAAAUAUAAAUUUUAAAUUGAUAUUUAAAAUUUUUAAAAUUAUAAUUUGAUAUUUAUUUUUUAAUUUAGAUUUAAUCUUAAAUUUAAUAUUUGAAAUUUAAAAUUAAGAACUUUGAAUUUUUAAAUUUCAAAUCUAAAAAUUUUAAUUUUAAUUUUAAAAUUUUGAAAUUUAAAAGUUAUAUAUUUAAAUUUAGAAAUUGAGAUAUAAAAUUAAAAUUUUAAAUUCAAAUAUAAUAUAAGGGGCAAUAUCAUUAUUUUCAAUUUAUAACUACUCAUAAUUCUUUCUAUUCCAUCUUAUCUAUCCCAACACUAUUUUUCUUAUUUCGGAAAACAAUUCAAUUUUCAUUUAAAUGCAAAAUUGGUAUAUUUCAGACUUAUAUCUGAAAUUAUACCUAUCCCUGAAAUAGGUAUUUCUUACUUAUACCCGAACCAAACGAAGCCUUAACAUGAAAGGAGAUCUUAUAUAAAUUAUGACUGAAUUUUUUGUUUAUGUUAAGAUUCAGAUUGAUAUGAUUAAGAUUACUUAUGAACAAAUUAAUUUGAAUACAUGAUGGAUCUGCACUGAAAUAAGUCUCAACAAGAUUAUCUAGUAAAUUUUUCUCCUGCUGUUUUCUUCAUAGCUCUCUCUCUCUUUCUCCCCCUCUCUCACUCCAUUAA